rnacentral:misc_RNA from 1 species
GAUGAAGAACGCAGCGAAAUGCGAUAAGUAAUGUGAAUUGCAGAAUUCAGUGAAUCGUCGAAUCUUUGAACGCACAUUGCGCCCGUCAGUAUUCUGGCGGGCAUGCCUGUUCGAGCGUCAUUACGCCCCUCAAGUCCCCUGUGGACUUGGUGUUGGGGAUCGGCGAGGCUGGUUUUCCAGCACAGCCGUCCCUUAAAUUAAUUGGCGGUCUCGCCGUGGCCCUCCUCUGCGCAGUAGUAAAACACUCGCAACAGGAGCCCGGCGCGGUCCACUGCCGUAAAACCCCCCAACUUUUUAUAGUUGACCUCGAAUCAGGUAGGACUACCCGCUGAACUUAAGCAUAUCAAUAAGCGGAGGA